UACGUAGGGCGCAAGCGUUGUCCGGAAUUAUUGGGCGUAAAGAGCUCGUAGGCGGCCUGUCGCGUCCGCUGUGAAAUCCCAGGGCUUAACCCUGGGCGUGCAGUGGAUACGGGCUGGCUGGAGGCAGGCAGGGGAGAACGGAAUUCCCGGUGUAGCGGUGAAAUGCGCAGAUAUCAGGAGGAACACCGAUGGCGAAGGCAGCUCGCUGGGACGGUACUGACGCUGAGACGCGAAAGCGUGGGGAGCAAACAGG
rnacentral:rRNA from 1 species